GAGUGACUGCCAGAGCAAAAGUUGGCACAAAGAUAGCGGAAUAUUGUCGCUGAACAAGAAGUUGCAUAUUUUUGAGCAAAACAGACAAGGGGGCAGAGGGGAAGACCAAACAGCACCACCAUUAAGAGGCCACGACGAGGCCAUAACCAACACCAGACCAAUGUUGUAGUUGGGGUUGCAGUUGCUGUUGUGGGCGGGCUCGAAGCUCAAGCCGCAAAUCGAAUAGUUGCAGCCACAACAUGUUCUGGGUUGCAGGGGUUGCAAAGGAACUCAAACAACGCAUGAAGCAGCUCAAAAAACUCAAAGCACGCAAAGCACUC
rnacentral:lncRNA from 1 species